CAGUCGCCACGGUAAUACAGAGGGUGCAAGCGUUAAUCGGAAUUACUGGGCGUAAAGCGUGCGUAGGCGGUGAGUUAAGUCUGCUGUGAAAUCCCCGGGCUCAACCUGGGAAUGGCAGUGGAUACUGGCUCGCUAGAGUGUGUCAGAGGAUGGUGGAAUUCCCGGUGUAGCGGUGAAAUGCGUAGAGAUCGGGAGGAACAUCAGUGGCGAAGGCGGCCAUCUGGGACAACACUGACGCUGAGGCACGAAAGCGUGGGGAGCAAACAGGAUUAGAUACCCCCGUAGUCCCUGUCUCUUAUAC
rnacentral:rRNA from 1 species